ensembl:rRNA 5S_rRNA 5S ribosomal RNA
UUUCACAGCCAUGUCACCCUGCAGCCCAAGGCUUGUCACUCACUGAAGCUAGACAGGGCUGAGCCUGGUCUGUACCUGGAUCGGAGACCACAUGGGAAAACUAGGUUACUGUUGGAA